GCCGCGGCCGGCGCAGCCGACGGUCGGUCGGCCGGGCGCUGUCACCUGUCGCGUCACACCGGCGCAGAAGACCGCCCCCAGCGUGGUCAGCGUGACGCGCAAGGACUCGGCCACCACGACCGAGGCCGCGUCGCGCCAGAUGACCGCCGACGCCGGAUGGAGGAGCCGGCAGCAGCCCGUGGUUAAAGGGUUCCGCUCUGCCGACGUGCCCGCCUCGGCGGUGAUUCCACCGCCUCCACCGCCACCUGCGCCAGUGCUGCCUCCAGCGGCCAACGGGCGAACCAGACUGAACAAGACGUCGGCCAGCCGGCCGGCCGUGCCCAAACUGGACCCGCGCGAGGAGCUGAUGAUCGCCAUUCGAGAGCACGGCGGGCUCAAGAAGAUGCGCAGCGUUCGGCCCUGAGACGUGACCAAGUGCAAUGUAGCGUGAUGCUGAGCUGGCGACACACCGCUGGCUGACGCGGAGCCCGACUGACCAACCGGCGACUUUGAUUGGUCGCCGGCGCGUCCUGCUCGCGAGCCUCCGACUCUGAUUAGCUGAGCGCGGGCGGCCUGUGACGUCUCACCGUGGCCAGCAGACGGCGGGCCGGCUGAGGCCAUGACGCCCUCCGCUCGCGCCUGUCGCGCAAGCGAGCUGGCGCGCCAGCGCCGUUCGCCGUCGAAGCCGCUCACAGACGGCGGCACGCGCCGCGCCGCCCCACCCCACCCGACUCGACCAGUGCCUAGACUCGCUAGUUAUCCCGCUGUAGUCAUGCCUGCAAGUGCCCGGACCCGGAAACGCGUGUCCACGCUCUGUCCACGGAGGUGCUGCUGUGAGCGCGUGCAUAAUGUCCACGUGCGCCGGCCGGCUGCGGCCGCGCUGCGACGCGUCGCUCCCCUCCCCGGCGGCCGCCAUGCGGUCGCCGGCGCAGACGACGCCCCUUCCCCCUGCGUCGGCCACCGCCCCUUGUUACGCAUAAUGCUCUGCCGGAGUCUGCCUGCGCUCGCACGCCGGCGUCAGCCCACAGCCUUCCGCCUGUACUUAGGUUUAUGUGAUACCUGUUUAGCCAGUUGAUCGCCCCCGUGCGGGUGUUGAUGAGGUGUAUGGAGCCGGGCUGCGGGACGGCGACUGCUCCUGACCUGACCUGACUGGCCUGACCCGACCUCGCUGCCUGGCCCGCCUCCGCGUUGUCCUGUAACUCUGUUAUACAAUCACUAAUCUAGUGUUAUUGCAACGUAUAUGCGCCAAGCCAUAAUGAAUAUA